CCGGCCUGGGCUGAUGUGGAUUCCUCUGCACACAGCUCGGGGAAGGUCCCCCUGGCCACCUGCACAGUGCCACAGACAAGUGUCAGACACAGUUACAGAGCUCUGCCCAGAGCUGACAGGGAAAGUUCAUUACCAAAAAAAAAAAAAAAUUUCCCAACAAAAAAACCCCAAAAAUCAUACUAAAAAAACCAAACAAAACCAUAUAAAAAGGGUUUUGAACCACCCUAAAUAAAUCACUAAAUCACCCCAACAAAAUAAAACAAAGAAAAGCAAAAAAACAAAAAACAAACUAAUAACAAAACAAUCCCCAAAACAAGAAAAAUAGAACUCCCACCCAGAAGAGCUGUUCCAUCAAUCAUUUUUCAUACCUGCAUGCACACAAGACCCAGAGCUGGAAAAAAAUCAGGGUUCAUUGAAACACAUUUGCAGGAAAAGCAGUUUUAGGAGAGGCUUUUAGCAGAACUGUUCUCAGCUCAGCCAAAAAGGCCCCUUUGGCAGCUGCAGGGCCAUUGGAAAUACAGAGCCUCAGCCCACAGAGCACAAAAGGGCUCUGAGUUCCCCUCCCCUGGCACUAAACCCUGUUGCCAGGCUGCUUCACACACAGGAUUCUUCUGGAGGAUUGCACAAAACCGAGAUCGGGCUCUGGCUUCUCCACGUUGUGUCUCAUAAAGCUGCCUGGGAGAAGAAAUUUCGUGUCAGCUCGGCUGGCACAAUCCCUCCUGGCACAGGCACAGCGCCAGGAAGGGCUUUGGUGCUAAGGCUUUGCUGCAGCCGCUGUUUUCUCUGCCUCCCGCUCUCUGCCACUGUCUGUCCUUCGAGCUCCUGGCUUCCGCGCUCUGCCGGAUCCCGUGCCCCGCUGCCUCCCCCUCCGCAGCCGGCACCCCUCUCCGCCCGGGAAAGGAGGUCACCCCGCCGGGCAUCGGCCGCCUGGCUCCUGCCCGCGCCGCCGGCACCGCUGAGCCUCCCGUGCGGCCGCGGCUCCUGGCGAGAGGGGAUCGCUCACACGAGCACCGCUGCUGCCAGCGCCGUGAGGACAGAGACUGUCACCGCCGUGAGGAGAGAGAGUGUCACUGACACCGAGAGAGAGACUGUCCCCGCCGUGAGGAGAGAGACUGUCCCCGCCGUGAGGAUAGAGACUGUCCCCGCCGCCAGGACAGAGACUGUCCCCGCCGUGAGGAUAGAGACUGUCCCCGCCGCCAGGACAGAGACUGUCCCCGCCGCGCUGCCGCUGCCUGCGAGUGCUGCGCCAUCUGACUCACGCCGGCGCUGCUGCCACCACGGGAAAGAACAGCUCCUGUGCCACGCUGCCGAUUCCAAGCAGCGCCAUCCUCGCGCGGGAGAGAAAUAAAGCAGCUCGGAAAAGCCAGCACAGGGUCCUUGCUUAUUUCCUUUAUCACGAUUCUUAUACGUUGAGCCCCCAUUUCGAGAGGCCGAACCGUGACCCUGCCGGCCGGUGGCAGAGGUCGGGCACGGCCACUCCUGGUGCCUGCCCCGAUCGCCUCCAGCCAUUGGGGCACACUGGUGCACGGGUCAGCUUGGCGCCCAGCCGUGGGAGCACAGACCCCUGGGAAGGACUGUCUCCAGGUUGCACGGACGCCCCGCCAAGUGAAGUUUGUGGUCCAUCAAGCACCGCCGGUGAAUUCGUACACUUUCUGGUUAUUGCAGCUCCCAGCGGGCCGGAAAGUCAACCCCUUUCGUCCAGAUGUGAGAGGAGCUUUCCCCUGGAUCAAGGACUACCUCCGAGAUUUUAGUUUCCAGGAAUCUUCAGUUUCGUAUUCCAGUGGCUGGGACAGACCCGACUGGGGUACCCUGAAGUUGGGUGGGGGUGACUCCUGGGGAUUGGGGGAGGUGUAGUACGCAAUGUUCAAACCAUGCCCCCCCCCCCCCCCCCACCCCGGUGAUUAUUGGGUGUUUUUCCUUUAGUUUUUGUUUUACCUUGGAGGUGGGUGGAAAAGAACCUAGUUAAUAGUCUUGGUCUGAGUAUUCUAGUGGCUGGGAUGGACUCGACUAGGGUACAAUGGCGUACAGCGAGACUGUCUGCCAGGGAGAAGGAAGUUUAUAACCAAGUUGUGGAUUCAUUGGUGGGGGAGGGUUUUUUUUAUGUAAGGGAAAAGUGAAGAGAUUUGUUAAGUGUAUUUUCUUUCAUUUUCCAACUACUACCCCUAAAUGAAGUAAAAACACUAAGAUUUUGGGAUAAGAUUGGAAUUAAACUUGGAGAAGAUGCAAUGAUAGAUGGUGAAUCAAAAAGUAAUUUUCAUCCUCUCUUUAUAAAAUUGAAAACUAUCACAUUAGUAAUGGAAAAGAAAGUCUCAGAAUGGAUGUUAUAAAUGAGAAGCUUGACUAGGCCAAUAUUUAAGCAGCAAUCAAUUUAUUAAUUAAUAUGGUAAAGUAUGAACAAUACAGUGCUGGGUACAGUGGGGGAAAUUUUCCCUCCAACUGCACGACAAUAGUUGGGGCUUACAUAUAUUUAUAGGGGUACUCAUAAGCUUUCUCAGCAAUUUCUAUUCACAAUUUUUACUCAUCAGCAAUUUCUAUCCCCAAUUUUUACGUCACAAUUCUACACACUAUUGAGAUUCAGUUUUUCUCAGGAUGUAUCCCAGAAAGGAGUAUCCCCAAAUGGUGGGGUCUAGCUUCCGAAAGAAGUCUCCCAGCUGGUGAGGUCCAGAUUCCAGAUGAGGGCUCAACUUUUAAUUGCAAGGACUAUAAAUCUCAUACCCAUGAUGUCCAGCUUCCCUUGGUCGAAACUAGUAAUCCUUGAGCUGAUAUUCAUCUUCCUAUCUCAAGCUACUUUUCAAUGUUUUGUUAAGGUGU